UCACGAACAAGCUCCAGCGCCUCCUGGAGAGAUGGGAAGCCCUCCAAGACCCAACAGCUUUCAGGGGGAAGACGGUGCAGGCAGACGAGACAGGCGAGUCGCUGAUGCAGGAGAUGGUGGCUGUGAGGCUGGAGGAGCGGCUGGCAUCAAGGAGGCAUAAGAUCACUUCUUGGCUGCGGAGACUCCUUCUGUUCCUCGCCUUCCUGCAGAUCGCCAUCCUCAUCCUGGUCCUGCUGAAGAGGGACGUCCUUAACUGGGUCCUGCCACCAAAGCUGGCGGCCGCCUUUGGGAGCCGCCCAGCGAGGUCCCGGUUCUUCUGAAAUAAAACUAGAAAGAGAAUAAAGAAAUCGGGGAUUGCGGGACAAGCGUGUCACCUUGUCAAUGUCACAUAAGAAAAGCCACCAUGUAAAGAUGGCUUUGAAGCCAUGCGCAAUGGAAC